GAGACUCAGUAACAAAACAAAGGGUGAAAGGGAAAUGCAGAGGAAAAUUGUACAAUUAAUAUUUCGACAUUAUGUGAAAUAAAUUUUCCAUCCCACAUAAGAGCUAUAGAAAAUUGAGUACUUGGUUAGGCUCCCUUGCGUCCUUAAACAUGUUAUAUGGAUGCUAUGCAUUGGAUUGCAAAUAGGCGUAAACAUCUAAUGUUUCAUCCAAAGCUUCUGAUUUAAGAAGCAACCUAAAGGUUCAAAAGUGCCUUUUGUUUGAGAUGAUCUCAAUGCUCAAGGCUUAUGCAACAAAGCAGAAAGGUUGAUUUGGAUGUGCCAGAUUGGCGCUAUGCAGCAUGUUGGAAGAGAAAGUGCUUGUUCACUUGUUGCUUCUUUUCCCCCUUUUUUU
rnacentral:misc_RNA from 1 species